rnacentral:ncRNA from 1 species
GUGUUGUAUGAAAGCAGAGAAGGUUAGCACUUCCCUUGAGAAGGAUGGAAGAGUUCCUAGUGGCCUUUAUGACAGAUACAUGGUUAAGGUGUUGCCACCUAACCGAGUUUUAAU